AGCGAACGCUGGCGGCAGGCUUAACACAUGCAAGUCGAACGCCCCGCAAGGGGAGUGGCAGGCGGGUGAGUAACACGUGGGAACGUACCCUUUGGUUCGGAAUAACUUGGGGAAACUCAAGCUAAUACCGGAUAAGCCCUUAUGGGGAAAGGUUUACUGCCGAAGGAUCGGCCCGCGUCUGAUUAGCUAGUUGGUGAGGUAAUGGCUCACCAAGGCGACGAUCAGUAGCUGGUCUGAGAGGAUGAUCAGCCACACUGGGACUGAGACACGGCCCAGACUCCUACGGGAGGCAGCAGUGGGGAAUAUUGGACAAUGGGGGCAACCCUGAUCCAGCCAUGCCGCGUGAGUGAUGAAGGCCUUAGGGUUGUAAAGCUCUUUUACCCGGGACGAUAAUGACUGUACCGGGAGAAUAAGCCCCGGCUAACUUCGUGCCAGCCGCCGCAGUAA
rnacentral:rRNA from 1 species